UACGUAGGGUGCGAGCGUUAAUCGGAAUUACUGGGCGUAAAGCGUGCGCAGGCGGUUCGUUGUGUCGGCGGUGAAAGCCCCGGGCUCAACCCUGGGAAUGGCCGUUGAAACUGGCGAACUGGAGUGUGGCAGAGGGGGUGGAAUUCCGCGUGUAGCAGUGAAAUGCGUAGAGAUGCGGAGGAACACCGAUGGCGAAGGCAGCCCCCUGGGCUGACACUGACGCUCAGGCACGAAAGCGUGGGGAGCAAACAGG
rnacentral:rRNA from 1 species